UUUCUUUCUUUCUUUUUUUUAACAGCUUGAGUUCCACUUCUUACAUAUGUAGACCUGUGGCAAACAAUUUUCCCUUGUACUCUUGCCAGUAUUAAGGGUAUUCCUGGAGAAACCCAUUCCUGCCAUCCUCGUUUUGGAGACAGAGUUGGAACCGUCAGCCUUUGGGAUCCUGAUGUACUUAGUAGAGUUCCUGGCUGCAGGGGCUUAGCUGCCAGCAAAAUGUCAGAAAAGGGAGGAGAAGUUGCUCUGAGGGAAGCAGACUUUCUCCAGGAAGUAAAGAUUAGAGAAUUUGGAAAAAAAAACAAAUAAAAAACCCAAAACAACAACAACAACAACAACAACAACAACAACAACAACAACAAAAAGAAUAAGAGAGAAUAUGAGAGAGAGCAGCAGGGAUGGGCAGAGAGAAAAAGAAUCGUAAAUAGUAUCCACACCCAGCAGAGAGCAUCAUAUGGGGCUCAGUCUCAUGACCCUAAGAUCAUGACAUGAGCCAAAAUCAAGAAUUGUACAGUUAACCAACUGAACCAUCCAGGUGCCCCUUUUAAUUUCUGUAACACCUUUGUAAAUACUCUCAUUAAACUCUCUCUACUGAGUGUGCC
rnacentral:lncRNA from 1 species